rnacentral:snoRNA from 1 species
CCCGCCACUACGCCGGCCCCCCCGUGACCGGCCGGAGUCCAGUGGAGGCUCAGAGCGACCCGGCUUUAGGAAACAGAGCGGCUCCUCUGCGGUGGGCCGCCCUGUGCCGAAAAGCCCGGAACACGC